CACGUAGGGCGCGAGCGUUGUCCGGAAUUAUUGGGCGUAAAGAGCUCGUAGGCGGCCUGUUGCGUCCGCUGUGAAAACUCGAGGCUCAACCUCGAGACGCCGAUGGAAACCGUCUGGCUAGAGUCCGGAAGAGGAGAGUGGAAUUCCUGGUGUAGCGGUGAAAUGCGCAGAUAUCAGGAAGAACACCCCGUGGCUAAGGCGGCUCUCUAGUACGGUACUGACGCUGAGACGCGAAAGCGUGGGGAGCGAACAGG
rnacentral:rRNA from 1 species